rnacentral:pre_miRNA from 1 species
CACACGGCAUUAGCCAGUGACCAAUCGGAGCUCAGCGAGGUCCCGUACGUCACGUGUGAACGUGACGGGACCUCGCUGAGCUCCGAUUGGUCACUGGCUAAUGCCGUGUG